AUUGAACGCUGGCGGCAGGCCUAACACAUGCAAGUCGAACGAGUGGCGGACGGGUGAGUAAUGUCUGGGAAACUGCCCGAUGGAGGGGGAUAACUACUGGACACGGAACCUAAUACCGCAUACCAUCGGAUAGGCCGAGGUGGGAUUAGGUCGUAGGUGGGGUAAAGGCUCACCUAGGCGACUAUCCAUAGCUGGUCUGAGAGGAUGACCAGCCACACUGGAACUGAGACACGGUCCAGACUCCUACGGGAGGCAGCAGUGGGGAAUAUUGCACAAUGGGCGAAAGCCUGAUGCAGCCAUGCCGCGUGUAUGAAGAAGGCCUUCGGGUUGUAAAGUACUUUCAGUGAGGAGGCGUUACUCGCAGAAGAAGCACCGGCUAACUCCGUGCCAGCAGCCGCGGUAAUAC
rnacentral:rRNA from 1 species